AACGUUGGGCACUAGGUGUGGGGGACAUUCCACGUUUUCCGCGCCGUAGCUAACGCAUUAAGUGCCCCGCCUGGGGAGUACGGCCGCAAGGCUAAAACUCAAAGGAAUUGACGGGGGCCCGCACAAGCGGCGGAGCAUGCGGAUUAAUUCGAUGCAACGCGAAGAACCUUACCAAGGCUUGACAUGGACCGGACCGCCGCAGAAAUGCGGUUUCCCUUCGGGGCUGGUUUACAGGUGGUGCAUGGUUGUCGUCAGCUCGUGUCGUGAGAUGUUGGGUUAAGUCCCGCAACGAGCGCAACCCUCGUUCUAUGUUGCCAGCGCGUUAUGGCGGGGACUCAUAGGAGACUGCCGGGGUCAACUCGGAGGAAGGUGGGGACGACGUCAAAUCACCAUGCCCCUUAUGUCUUGGGCUUCACGCAUGCUACAAUGGCCGGUACAAAGGGUUGCGAUACUGUGAGGUGGAGCUAAUCCCAAAAAGCCGGUCUCAGUUCGGAUUGAGGUCUGCAACUCGACCUCAUGAAGUCGGAGUCGCUAGUAAUCGCAGAUCAGCAACGCUGCGGUGAAUACGUUCCCGGGCCUUGUACACACCGCCCGUCAAGUCACGAAAGUUGGUAACACCCGAAGCCGGUGGCCUAACCCCUUGUGGGAGGGAGCCGUCGAAGGUGGGACCGGCGAUUGGGACUAAGUCGUAACAAGGUAACCAAGGG
rnacentral:rRNA from 1 species